AUAUUUACCUGGCAGGGGAGAUACCAUGAUCACGAAGGUGGUUUUUCCAGGGCCAGAUUUAUCCAUUGUAUUCCGGAUGUGCUGACCCCUGCGAUUUCCCCAAAUGUGGGAAACUCGACUGCAUGAUUUGUGGUAGUGGGGGACUGCGUUCGCGCUUUCUCUUG
rnacentral:snRNA from 1 species